UUUUUUAUUUUUUUUUUGUGGAACAUUAGUGUUCAAUAAUUUUCCUAAUGCUAUAGUGUCCUAGUCACCCUUUAGGUGACCAGCCAGGCUUAAAGUAUAAAAUAGUGUUGGGAAUACAAGCAUGUUAUCUUAACACUAUAUAGCUCUCUGCCUUCCCUCUCCCUUGGUCAAUAAAUGGUAAGAUGAAGUGGUCUGGGUGCCAGGGUGUUCCUUUUUUAACCCCCCUACCUCCCCAAUUUUCUGGAAAUCUUAAACAUGAUCAUGUGUUUGCAAAUAAUGGUGAUCACAUGCUUUGCUUAGAUUAGGUUAAGAAAUAGUAGACUAAUAUACAUCGCAUUGAAGGGUGCAUUGUGUGGACCAGUCACAGGCUUUUCAUUGUAGUGCUUGUGAUUGGACCAUUUAUUUAAAUUUAUGUUGUUGAAAUUUUCAUUUUUAAGACCAAUGUAGGACUUUGGUUUUUACUAUAUGUAUUAGCUGAUGUGUACUAUGGUCAUUGCUGCUGCCCAGGAGUAAUGGGAGUUGGAGCACAGGACUAGUUUAUUUGUAUUCACUUUUGUAUCACACAGCUAGGUUGCAAUGCUGCUGCCCAUCCCAUGUGUUCCAUAUUAAGGGUUAAUAAGCAUGUAGGAAUGUAUAUAAAAAAAAAAAAAAAAAUACCCCUUUCUGUCUCAGAGAUAUUUUUGCCAGAAGCUCAAGGAAGCAAGGCAAAUUGUUAGUUAGGACCCACCUAAGAGGUGUUCCUUGAUGUGGCAGGUGGGCUUACCCUCUCAUGGCCAUUGGAGGUAACUAAAAACCUCCAUUUGUUUAAAAAUACAUAGGGGUGUGGAAAGAGCGCAGGUAACUUUUUUUUUUUUUUUUCUCUUGGUUUUAAUAAAGAGGCUUUAAACAUUCUGAAUAGAUCUCCUGGAAAAAUAUACUAAAAAGUUGCCAAGCCUAUGGGUGUCUAUGCUCGUGGUGCCCCUGGGGAACUGCCUAGCAUGUCCAUGCAUGAAGACAGCUCUGGUUGGGUUGCAGGGGGUGGUUUAUUGAAAGGAAAUACACAAAUUUAAACUUGACCACUAUUUCAGUGCUUACUUUAGAAUUGGCAUUGCUAAAAAACAAAAUAUUGCUGAAAACAAAAAAUAAAUAUUA